ensembl:snoRNA
GCAUGGGUUUGGAUUUAUGUAGGCUUGACCCUGGGCCUCUCAUAGUGUCCCAUGCCAGGGCAAACUAUGCCCCCAAACCGUUGCCUGGCCUCUGUGUCCACAGGCUGCUGGCACUGAAGUGGGUCGCACAGUG